GUACUCGCUUCCGAGGUACAUAUACUAAAAUUGGAACGAUAAAGAGAUCAGCAUGGCUCCUGAGCAAGGAUGACACGCAAACUCAAGAAGCGUUCCAUAUUUUU
rnacentral:snRNA from 1 species